GGGGAGGGAGGUGUGUGGGGAGGGAGGGAGGGGAACUAUUGCAUUCAAUAAGUGAACUGAACAAGGAGCUGGUUUUGGAGAAUACGACAAAAUGGCUGUGGUUGCACUCUACCAAUCGGGGCGUUUAAAAAACGAAACUAUCUGAAGGGUUUGCAGAGGGAAAACAUCAUCACACAACCGGUCCUGGUGGCUUGCCGGUUAUAAACCGCUGAACGGUCGGUUCUCCGGGAGAGGCUGAAGCGAUCAGCGCCUUUUUUUUCUCAAUGCACAACAACGCCUCUACUAGCGGUGUGCAGUGAAUGAGGUUGUCAACGUGGUGUGGCAUUCAUUACCUGGCUGCAGGCCUGGCUGGCUCCAUAACAGCCCGGGAGCGUUCCACGUCACAGUCCGCCCCCCCUCUGCACCCCCAAACCUAGGCAGAGAAGGCCUGAAGGCUGGCAGACCGCUGGGCCUGGAGUCCAGCAUAUAGGCCCUACAAACCACAUCACAGUCUGGAGCGUCUGGAGCCCGCGCCUCUAUAAAGUUCCACUGCCCCGUCAGAAAAGGAGCGGGGCGGUUGCGUGGACCGGACCCACCGGUCGGCUGAGAGUGCGCAGGAGGGGGGGGGGGGGCACUGGUCGGUUAACAGCGGCGUUUAACAUUUCAAAGGGGUUAAGCCCGCCAACGUUCCAGCCUACCGGCCGACGCUCCCGAUCCCAUGCCGGCGCUUCCUGCGGAACGGGGGAUACGUGAUCGCUCACAGCUGAGGGCCUGGGAAACGUUGGGACGUUCCCGAUAUUUCCAUGCGGCGGCAGCGGCGCACUUCUGAUGCUUCCCCUGGAUGCCAGACCUCCUCAGAGGGUCAGCAGAGCCACGCCGGGGGGCCUCCGGGCACCGACAUGCGCUGGAGGAGCCCAUCGAGCCCGGACGAUGGGAGCCAACGCCGUCGCCGUCGCCGUGCCGACGCCGACAGAGAUCCGCUCAACUUGGAGAGCCGACAGCGCCGCCAUAGGAGAUCCGAAGCUGCGUUUAAUAAUUGAUUCAUUAAUCAUCUAUAAGUCC
ensembl:lncRNA